UUUGUGGAGGGUUUGAUUCUGGCUCAGGAUGAACGCUGGCGGCGUGCUUAACACAUGCAAGUCGAACGGGAUCCAAGCAGCUUGCUGUUUGGUGAGAGUGGCGAACGGGUGAGUAAUGCGUGACUAACCUGCCCUGUACUUUGGAAUAGCUCCUGGAAACGGGUGGUAAUGCCGAAUGCUCCGCGCUAUCGCAUGGUGGCGUGGGAAAGGGUUUCUGGUAUGGGAUGGGGUCGCGUCCUAUCAGCUUGUUGGUGGGGUGAUGGCCUACCAAGGCUUCGACGGGUAGCCGGCCUGAGAGGGUGACCGGCCACAUUGGGACUGAGAUACGGCCCAGACUCCUACGGGAGGCAGCAGUGGGGAAUAUUGCACAAUGGGCGCAAGCCUGAUGCAGCGACGCCGCGUGCGGGAUGACGGCCUUCGGGUUGUAAACCGCUUUUAGCAGGGAGCAAGCCUUCGGGUGAGUGUACUUGUUGAAUAAGCGCCGGCUAACUACGUGCCAGCAGCCGCGGUAAUACGUAGGGCGCAAGCGUUAUCCGGAUUUAUUGGGCGUAAAGGGCUCGUAGGCGGUUUGUCGCGUCUGGUGUGAAAGUCCACUGCUUAACGGUGGAUCGGCGCCGGGUACGGGCAGGCUGGAGUGCGGCAGGGGAGACUGGAAUUCCCGGUGUAACGGUGGAAUGUGUAGAUAUCGGGAAGAACACCGAUGGCGAAGGCAGGUCUCUGGGCCGUCACUGACGCUGAGGAGCGAAAGCGUGGGGAGCGAACAGGAUUAGAUACCCUGGUAGUCCACGCCGUAAACGGUGGAUGCUGGAUGUGGGGCCCGUUCCGCGGGUUCCGUGUCGGAGCUAACGCGUUAAGCAUCCCGCCUGGGGAGUACGGCCGCAAGGCUAAAACUCAAAGAAAUUGACGGGGGCCCGCACAAGCGGCGGAGCAUGCGGAUUAAUUCGAUGCAACGCGAAGAACCUUACCUGGGCUUGAC
rfam:Bifidobacterium actinocoloniiforme DSM 22766 Contig3, whole genome shotgun sequence.